UCUUUUUGGUCUCAACAAGAACAGC
rnacentral:piRNA from 1 species